CCCCCCCGCCCCCCCUCAUCCGCCUUCUUCUUCCCCAAAUCGACCCCUCUUCCAUAUACCAACUCUCUUCGCCCCGAUUCUUCACCAAGUCCCGACUUCGAACCAUGCCGAUGCUCCAGCGCAGCGCACACUUCGGCGACCGGGAUCGACGCCUCCUUCACCAACUCCAGCGCGGCGCACGCUUCGGCGACCUGGAUUGAACCAAGUCCCAGCUUCGAACCCUAGGUUGUCGCAGGUGGCCUGUCAUCGAAGCCUCUCAGGAAAGCCAACUUUCCCCUCACGACCUAUCUCGCGCUCCUCUCUUUUUUCCCCAAAUCCAGAACCCUAGGUCGUUUGUCGCCACCGCCACCGCUUCCACCGGUAGUCACCUCCGUCGCAGUGAAAUACUCCGAUUUUAAUGGCGGCGACCCUCUCUCUCUCAGAUAAUAUGCACAAAUUGGGCACAACUUUAUCUUUCUAGGGUUCUAAAUUGCACCGGUAACGACAGUUCUCUCCCUAUCUCUCUCUACUCUCCAACUCCAGUAAGUCCUGAACUCUGCACUUCUCUACUCUGGGUUCGAAUUUUGAAAUUCUCGAGCAAUUUUGUAAGUUAUGCAUACUUAGUAAGUUCUAGUUCGUUUCUUCGAAGAACGGGGUGUUGCAGUUGAUUGAUUCUUGUAGUCCGAUUUAAUUCAAUUGCUUCUUGCACUGUAGUUAUUGAAUUCGCGGGGGGAUUCUGAAUUCUUGAUUGCUCCGGGUCCAAAUUGUUAUGACAGUUUUCUUAGGUGGUAAGCUUUACUUAAUUGAAUAUUAGGCAUGGUGGAUGCUCACAAUGAAAUCAUGUCUUGUAUUCCUGUGCUCUAAGACCUAAAUUUGAAACUGAUCGUGUAUUGUUAGGCUGAUGCUGGAGGUUCACCCUCACUUGUUGCUCGAGGAUUCAGCACUGUUCAGGCUGCUAGUGGUGGUGAGCAACUUGAAAUUCAAGUUCCAGUUGAAAGAUUUGAACUUGUAAAUUCUGUGAGGAUGAGGUAGUGCAGUCCCUUUGAGUAAUCAGCUUGGUGACAGCUUCUUACUUCUAUAUAAAUCAAGAAAGAAAUUAAAUUAGUGAAGCUAGUUUAAACACAAAAGUGAGAAAAGGGAAAAGUUUAGCUGUUGGAAUUCAUUUAAUUUGUGAAGCUACUUCGAUGCAUGACGCUCUCUCCUUACUGGUAAUUCAUUUAAUUUGUUUUUCUCUCUCUCUACAUAUUCUUUGUUUCAUUUUAUAUAUCUUUCCAUCUGUUCUUGAUUUUGAUUAGUAUGAGUUUCCUUUGAUCGUCAUAAUAUUUAGUAUCUUCUGUUUCUUGUUGCUCUGUAUGUAAGUCUGUUGUUUUUCUACGGCUUUCUCUUUAUUUAAUUGUUAAUAGCUUGCAAAUGCCAUUACAAACUUCAUAUGAUGGGAAAUUGCAAGCUGAGACAGCUUCUGGUGAAUUCUGGGUACUCUUUGGUGGGUUUGCUCCAAUUGGUAAGAAGGUUGCUACUGAAGAUGAUAUCAUACCAGAGAAGACCCCUGCUAAGCUUUUUAGCAAGUAGAAAAGGAUAUAUUCAUCCAAGCAAUAGAGAAGGGGCAGGGAGCUACCUAUGGGAGCAUCUUGAAUGCGAUGAGGUCUACCAUCCGGCAGACUAGCGAGGAUCUAGUUGCCGGAGGGGGUGCUGUCACUACACUACUCACAAUGCUCUUGACAGGGGGGAGCGGUGUUGGACUGAGACAGGUUUGUGGUGGAUUAAAUGAGCCGUACGUUGAGAUGAAGAGGCUUGUGAAUUCACAAGAAAAGUUGUACCAGAUGGCUAGCUAGUUGCAUAUUUAAUAUGUUUAGUAUUUUUGUAAGGCAUAAUAGUAUAGAUAGAGCAGUUGUUGAAUUUUGACUAUAUUCAAAUCUUGUAUGAAUUCUUUUUUAUGAUAAUAAUAUAAAAUUAAAUAUUUUGGAUGA